rnacentral:lncRNA from 1 species
CAUCUGCAGGAAACAUAGCCUGGCUCUGUGAAGGAAUACUGCUGUGACCGCAAAACUGUUUCUGUAGAAUUUUCUCCGGUGUGGUCAUCCUGCCUUCAGGAGGAAAAUAGAGCAAAAAGGUAGAACUUACUUCCACACCCAAGUUUCUCCUGAAAGCACUGUGCCUGUUUUGUUUGCUACACAUCUUGGUGCUCCAGCAGAUUACCAGUGAAACAUGCCGACUCUCACCAAACCACCCCAUGUUGCCAAAUCUUCUCUCUUGGCCCUGAUGAUGUGCAACUUAAAACCAAGCUUCAGGAAAAAGAGGACCUUAGAACUGAAGGAGCAAGAUUCCAACAUCACACUGUUUUUGUUAGCUGUGUGUGUGUGUUUCCUGUGUAUCCAAAAGACAGAGGAGAUGAAAAAGCAAAAGAAAAGAAACGAGGAAUCAGAUUGGAAAGAAGGUUUCUCCAGGACGUCACCUGUAUGAGGUACACAGUGUGAUGACACACUCUGUGCUUUUCCUACUUGUGUCCACGGCUCAAGCCUGGAAGAAGCCUUAGGACGUGGGGGAAAUGUCUAACGUGGAGUCCACCUGCUGAGCAGGACCGGGUGUGAAGGAAGAAGCUUUGUUCUGAUUCCUCAUGGCCCAGCCACCCCUCGCCUGAGCUGAGCCUGGCCACAGGGCCCGCCUGCAGGAAGGGCUGGCCCAUGGCUUCACACUGGGCUCAGGCUGCGCUAAGAGCCCCGGGUGAGGACCUCCAAGCCCAGGAAGCCUCAGUUGGCCAAAGUGCUAGAUGCGUGUGGUCUGCUUUCAUCCCCGCUUCCCUCAGAGCUUGCAUUUUCCAAAUUCAAGAGAGGCUCCACCUUCAAGAAGACCGGCCUGUCCCUGUUAUUUAUGUGUCCCCCUACCAUAUCUCCCUUUGUUCUGCAGAGCGGUACGCAUAAAAAGCUUUUGGGGA